rnacentral:rRNA from 1 species
AGCAGUCGCCGCGGUAAUACGGAGGGAGCUAGCGUUGUUCGGAAUUACUGGGCGUAAAGCGCACGUAGGCGGUUAUUCAAGUCAGAGGUGAAAGCCCGGGGCUCAACCCCGGAACUGCCUUUGAAACUAGAUGACUAGAAUCUUGGAGAGGUCAGUGGAAUUCCGAGUGUAGAGGUGAAAUUCGUAGAUAUUCGGAAGAACGCCAGUGGCGAAGGCGACUGACUGGACAAGUAUUGACGCUGAGGUGCGAAAGCGUGGAGAGCGAACAGGAUUAGAGACCCCCGUAGUCCCUGUCUCUUAUAC